UUGCACACUCCUGAAGACAAUAAGCCAAUCCGUAGUGAUGGGAGAUCCACUGAAGUCAUCUCAUGAUGUGUGUUGUCGGGCUAUUUAAAGGCUGCUGUUUCACUUCCAAACUUCACUCCCUUCUGACGUCUUCAGUGCUGUUCACUUGGCAACCUUGGCUACUCUUCAGCAGAUAAUUUGUACUCUACAUAAGCAUUUAGAAGAACCCAGAGUUAAACCAAGGAUAAGAGUCAUCGGUAACAUUUAUAGUUACUGAACUCCUCACUAUGUGUCACAAAGUGGGUCAGAGGGUGCAUCUUUCAGGAGAAAAAGAACAUUCUUUUAGUGCUAUUUCUACUUCCACAUUGAUACGACAAUGAUUCCUACAGCUAAAUUAAGGUUUGACCUCAUGUGUCAAAUGAUUUUUGUUUAGUCAAUAGAUUUUUUUCUAAAUGUUAUCCUCUCCAAAAAAAUCAGAAAUUUAGCAUUUAAGUUAUGCAUGAUCACAAGUACAUAUAUAUAUACACACACAUAUAUAUAUGCAAGAACAGCCUUUUCUUGACAAUAAUUCAAUGCGAGAAAAAUUUAGAUAAAUGUAUUGAAUGUACAAAAGUGUAAUAAAACCCCCUUUAGUUUAAUAGAUAAAAGAGCAUUGUGGGGAGUUUUUUCUUUGCAGGGUUGGAGUAUGUGCUCUGCUCAUGGAAACCAGCUGUCAUGCCACUUCCCAGCACUCGGAGGGAACAGAAACUUGUUUCUUCUCUACUGUUAAAGCAAAAGGGUGUGCCCAAGGCAAAGAUUAGAGUGGCUGUGGAUCUGCAGGUGGUUUUACGUAUUUGCGGUGAGGUCAAAGAAACAUCUUUUUUUGCACUUCUUCUUUUCUCCAAAUUGGGCAUUGCCUGAAAUGGACGCAUUCAGCAGCACUGUGGGAUGAGAUAUGUACAAGGCAUCAUUUCCCUCUAAGGCAAAUACCUUCACUGCUGGCAAACCUUCAGAAUUUGCAAGCUCAGCCAGCACCUUUGACCCGGCCACACAGCUGACAGCACAGUUGGCAGUUGGUAGCUUCCAUUUAUCCUAGGUCAGCUCCCGAGGCAUCGGCAUAAAAUGAAAUAAAGAUUUGAGCAGUCACUUCAGAAAUGAAAAUGGGAAUGCCCAAUAGUUUGCUUCAGUUUGCUCAGGCUGAGAACCAUUUAUUAAGCUGGUAAAAUGGGAAAGUCAUACAUGAG
rnacentral:lncRNA from 1 species